rnacentral:rRNA from 1 species
UACGGAGGGAGCGAGCGUUGUCCGAAGUUACUGGGCGUAAAGCGCGCGUAGGCGGGGGAUUAAGUGAGAAGUGAAAGGCUGAGGCUCAACCUCAUGCAGUGCUUCUCAUACUGGUCCUCUUGAGGGUGGUAGAGAGAAGUGGAAUGGCUGGUGUAGCGGUGAAAUGCGUAGAUAUCAGUCGGAACACCGAUGGCGAAGGCAGCCCCCUGGGUCAAGAUUGACGCUCAUGCACGAAAGCGUGGGGAGCAAACAGG